CGCAGCAUCACAGUGCUCUGGGGCUGUAUAAGGCAGCGUCAUCCCCUGUCCCACUGCCAGAGUGCUCGGCACUGCCACCAGGGCAGGGCUGGCAGCCUGAGGGCAUCCGAGGGGAAGUGCUUGGGGCAGCGGGGGGAUUACUGGGAGGGGGGAGUGGGCUGGUGGGGGGAACACUUGAAGCUGCACGAAGCUGCGGGAGGUUCUGUGCUGCAGUUCCAGCUCCUGGAGGAGCCAUGCUCAAAUCUCCUUGGCUGGAUGGAUGGAAAUCCUGCUCCAGCUGCCGGGGGACCCGCCGUCCUCAUCUGCUGGGCCCUGGGGAAUUGCCUGUCGGGGGGCUGAAGGAGGGAACACCUGGAGCUGCACAAAGCUGAAGGAGGUUCUGUGCUGCAGUUCCAGCUCCUGGAGGGGCCACUCUCAAAGCAUCAUUUAGGGCUCCUGCCUCAGUCAUCGGGAAGCUCACUGUUCUUAUCGCCCGGGGAGAGAGUGGCAGUAGCCAGAAGAAAAAGAAUGCACAGAUGGCUCCGUGCCCUCUCCCAGUGCUCUCGAGCUCCCACUGCCAAGCACAGGAGGGAUUCUUGCUCCAAGGAUUCACCAGGCCAAUGGCAUUUUUCUCUUGUUGGAAGCCCCUGAAAUGGCUCUGGGUGGAAGCAGAAAAGGCAGUGCCAGUUGUCCCCUUGUCCCCUUAGAGGUGGAACCAGCGUGUGGACCAGGAGCAGGUCUUGCUCACAUGCUCAGGGAGUAGCCGAUCACCAGCACUGGGGUCAGGAAGGAAUUUUCCCCAGGAGCAGAUCGGCACCAGUCCCCGGGGGUUUUUUGCCUUCCUCUGAGCACUGAGCAUGACCACUUGUCAGGGCUCCUCGGUCCUUUCUGGCUGCGUUAUCACCCGGUGCUCAUGCUCCAUGCAGGUGGCCCUCGUGCCCCGCAUACAGGGGGAGGCAGCCUUCUGGACUCCCAGGGUGGCCCCAGAGUGGCCCCGGGACUUGCUGCUGUCCUCUGUAGCAUUGAGCACCACCCCUUGUCAGCUCUUCCCUGGCCCUUUCUGGCUGGGUUCUUCUUGCACUGCUCUCCCACUACCACGGCACCGCUCCUGCCCUGCCUUUCCUUUGUCAGGCUGCAAGGGAUGUUUUUUCCAGAUAAACUGAAGGCUCUAAACUAAAACAGACAAAAAUUAACUAAGCUAAACUAAAUCAAAUAACUUCAUUUAGAAAUAAAUAAAAUACUCUUUCCACUUGUAA